AUGAACGCUAGCGGCAGGCUUAAUACAUGCAAGUUGAGGGGCAGCAUGAUAUACGCGAGUAUAUUGAUGGCGACCGGCGGACGGGUGAGUAAUAGGUAGGAGACCUACCUCAUACGAGGGGGAUGGCAUAGAGAAAUCUGUGGUAAUACCCCAUGAGGUUAUAUGAAUAGAGGCAUAUAAUCAAAGCAUAAGCGAUUAUGCGGUAUGAGAGGGGCCUACUGACCAUUAGCUAGUUGGUGAGGUAAGGGCUCACCAAGGCGAAGAUGGUUAGGGGUUUUGAGAGAGAGACCCCCCACAUUGGAACUGAGAGACGGUCCAGACUCCUACGGGAGGCAGCAGUAGGGAAUAUUGGGCAAUGGGCGAAAGCCUGACCCAGCCAUGCCGCGUGAAGGAAGACGGCCUUAUGGGUUGUAAACUUCUUUACUACGCGAAUAGAGGUUAGUACGAGAUACUAAUAGGAAGGUAGUGUAGUAAAAAGCACCGGCUAACUCCGUG
rnacentral:rRNA from 1 species